rnacentral:tRNA from 1 species
CCCUGGGUGGUACAAAUUGUUAGCACAUUUGGCUGCUAACCAAGAGGUUGGAAUUUCAAUUCCACCCAGAGC